UGAUCUGAGUUCAAACCGGUGUGAGCCAGGUUGGAUUCUAUCUUUAAAUAAUUAAAAUGAUUUAGUACGAAAGGACCCAUUAUUUGUAAUAUUUAUUGUAUUUUUGAACAAAA
rnacentral:rRNA from 1 species